GGUAUGUAGAGAUGGAUCUCUUAAAGGAUUUUAGGCCUGGGGAAGAUUUGAAAGUGUGCGGGAGGUCCUUCCAUAAUUGCGGUGCUCUGUAGGAAAAGGAGGAUUGAGAUGCUUUCUUUUUGUAUUGAGGUAGACUAAAUAAAGUGCUGGUACUGGAUCGGAGGUUAUAAGGAGGUGGGAACAGCCGGGGAGAGCAGGUAGGAUGGGAGCUUCUUAAACACAAGGCUGGUAGGAUGAAGGAUGCUUCUGGAUUCCACGGACAGCCAGUUUAGUUCUUUUAG